rnacentral:rRNA from 1 species
ACGAACGCUGGCGGCGUGCUUAACACAUGCAAGUCGAACGGAAAGGCCCUGCUUUUGUGGGGUGCUCGAGUGGCGAACGGGUGAGUAACACGUGAGUAACCUGCCCUUGACUUUGGGAUAACUUCAGGAAACUGGGGCUAAUACCGGAUAGGAGCUCCUGCUGCAUGGUGAGGGUUGGAAAGUUUCGGCGGUUGGGGAUGGACUCGCGGCUUAUCAGCUUGUUGGUGGGGUAGUGGCUUACCAAGGCUUUGACGGGUAGCCGGCCUGAGAGGGUGACCGGCCACAUUGGGACUGAGAUACGGCCCAGACUCCUACGGGAGGCAGCAGUGGGGAAUAUUGCACAAUGGGCGGAAGCCUGAUGCAGCAACGCCGCGUGCGGGAUGACGGCCUUCGGGUUGUAAACCGCUUUCGCCUGUGACGAAGCGUGAGUGACGGUAAUGGGUAAAGAAGCACCGGCUAACUACGUG